rnacentral:rRNA from 1 species
UACGGGGGGGGCAAGCGUUGUUCGGAAUUACUGGGCGUAAAGGGCUCGUAGGCGGCCAACUAAGUCAGACGUGAAAUCCCUCGGCUUAACCGGGGAACUGCGUCUGAUACUGGUUGGCUUGAAUCCGGGAGAGGGAUGUGGAAUUCCAGGUGUAGCGGUGAAAUGCGUAGAUAUCUGGAGGAACACCGGUGGCGAAGGCGGCAUCCUGGACCGGUAUUGACGCUGAGGAGCGAAAGCCAGGGGGAGCAAACGGG